rnacentral:rRNA from 1 species
GAUGAACGCUGGCGGCGUGCCUAAUACAUGCGAGUCGAGCGAACGGACGAGAAGCUUGCUUCUCUGAUGUUAGCGGCGGACGGGUGAGUAACACGUGGAUAACCUACCUAUAAGACUGGGAUAACUUCGGGAAACCGGAGCUAAUACCGGAUAAUAUUUUGAACCGCAUGGUUCAAAAGUGAAAGACGGUCUUGCUGUCACUUAUAGAUGGAUCCGCGCUGCAUUAGCUAGUUGGUAAGGUAACGGCUUACCAAGGCAACGAUGCAUAGCCGACCUGAGAGGUCGCUCGGCCACACUGGAACUGGUACACGUUCCAGACUCCUACGGGAGGCAGCAGUAGGGAAUCUUCCGCAAUGGGCGAAAGCCUGACGGAGCAACGCCGCGUGAGUGAUGAAGGUCUUCGGAUCGUAAAACUCUGUUAUUAGGGAAGAACAUAUGUGUAAGUAACUGUGCACAUCUUGACGGUACCUAAUCAGAAAGCCACGGCUAACUACGUG